AGCGGCGGAUGGGUGAGUAACACGUGGGGAACCUGCCCCUAAGUCUGGGAUACCAUUUGGAAACAGGUGCUAAUACCGGAUAAUAAAGCAGAUCGCAUGAUCAGCUUUUGAAAGGCGGCGUAAGCUGUCGCUAAGGGAUGGCCCCGCGGUGCAUUAGCUAGUUAGUAAGGUAACGGCUUACCAAGGCGACGAUGCAUAGCCGAGUUGAGAGACUGAUCGGCCACAUUGGGACUGAGACACGGCCCAAACUCCUACGGGAGGCAGCAGUAGGGAAUCUUCCACAAUGGACGCAAGUCUGAUGGAGCAACGCCGCGUGAGUGAAGAAGGUCUUCGGAUCGUAAAGCUCUGUCGUUGGUGAAGAAGGAUAGAGGUAGUAACUGGCCUUUAUUUGACGGUAAUCAACCAGAAAGUCACGGCUAACUACGUGCCAGCAGCCGCGGUAAUACGUAGGUGGCAAGCGUUGUCCGGGUUUAUUGGGCGUAAAGCGAGCGCAGGCGGAAAAAUAAGUCUAAUGUGAAAGCCCUCGGCUUAACCGAGGAACUGCAUCGGAAACUGUUUUUCUUGAGUGCAGAAGAGGAGAGUGGAACUCCAUGUGUAGCGGUGGAAUGCGUAGAUAUAUGGAAGAACACCAGUGGCGAAGGCGGCUCUCUGGUCUGCAACUGACGCUGAGGCUCGAAAGCAUGGGUAGCGAACAGGAUUAGAUACCCUGGUAGUCCAUGCCGUAAACGAUGAGUGCUAAGUGU
rnacentral:rRNA from 1 species